rnacentral:rRNA from 1 species
AUUGAACGCUGGCGGCAGGCCUAACACAUGCAAGUCGAGCGGAGCGGCGGACGGGUGAGUAAUGCCUAGAACUCUGCCUGGUAGUGGGGGAUAACGUCCGGAAACGGGCGCUAAUCCCGAAUACUAUCGGAUUAGCCUAGGUCGGAUUGGCUAGUUGGUGGGGUAAAGGCCUACCAGGGCGACGAUCCGUAACUGGUCUGAGAGGAUGAUCAGUCACACUGGAACUGAGACACGGACCAGACUCCUACGGGAGGCAGCAGUGGGGAAUAUUGGACAAUGGGCGAAAGCCUGAUGCAGCCAUGCCGCGUGUAUGAAGAAGGCCUUCGGGUUGUAAAGUACUUUCAGUCGGGAGGCGUUACCGACAGAAGAAGCACCGGCUAACUCCGUGCCAGCCGCCGCGGUAAUAC